rnacentral:rRNA from 1 species
UACGUAGGGUGCGAGCGUUAAUCGGAAUUACUGGGCGUAAAGGGUGCGCAGGCGGUUUUGUAAGCCAGAUGUGAAAGCCCCGGGCUUAACCUGGGAAUGGCAUUUGGGACUGCAAGGCUAGAGUGUGGCAGAGGAGACUGGAAUUCCUGGUGUAGCAGUGAAAUGCGUAGAUAUCAGGAGGAAUACCGAUGGCGAAGGCAGGUCUCUGGGCUGACACUGACGCUCAUGCACGAAAGCGCGGGGAGCAAACAGG